UGGCGGCGCGCUUACACAUGCAAGUCGCACGAGAAAGCGGGGCAACUCGCAAGUAAAGUGGCGUACGGGUGAGUAACACGUGGGUAAUCUGCCCUUGAGUGGGGAAUAACCCUGGGAAACCGGGGCUAAUACCGCAUAAGCCUGAGAAGGGAAAGCAGCAAUGCGCUGAAGGAGGAGCCCGCGGCCGAUUAGCUGGUUGGGAGGGUAAAAGCCUACCAAGGCAAAGAUCGGUAGCCGGCCUGAGAGGGCACACGGCCACACUGGCACUGAAACACGGGCCAGACUCCUACGGGAGGCAGCAGUGGGGAAUCUUGCACAAUGGGGGAAACCCUGAUGCAGCGACGCCGCGUGAGCGAUGAAGCCCUUCGGGGUGUAAAGCUCUUUCGGCAGGGACGAUGAUGACGGUACCUGCAGAAGCAGCUGCGGCUAACUACGUGCCAGCAGCCGCGGUAAUACGUAGGCAGCGAGCGUUGUUCGGAGUUACUGGGCGUAAAGGGUGUGUANGCGGUUCUUUAAGUUUGGUGUGAAAUCUCCCGGCUCAACCGGGAGGGUGCGCCGAAAACUGGGGGACUGGAGUGCGGGAUGGGA
rnacentral:rRNA from 1 species